AGACUGUGAGCACUGCGGAAAGAAACACAGAGGAGAAUGUUGGAAAGUAACUAGAGGUUGCUUUAGAUGUGGUUCUACAGACCAUUUUAUCAGAGACUGUCCGAAUACCGAUAGUGUUGCACCUGUAUCAUCACAAAGAUCAGUAUCUACUGCUAGAGGCAAAGGGUCAGGUAGAGGUAAUUCGGCUUCCAAGGGAGGUGCUGGUAGAAGGAGCAGUGAUAUUGCUACUCAACAGUCUGAAGCCAGAGUACCAGCUAGAGCUUAUGUGGUCAGAAAACGAAAAGAAGGCGAUGCACAUGAUGUUGUUACAGCCAACAAAGAACCUGAAGCAUCAGCAUCGAAAGGAAAUGAGAAAGUCAUCGAGGACUAAAACGGGAGAAUUACGGUUAGUAGAAGUCAAGUGUCUCGGCUCAGCAUCCAGAACAAUCCCGACUCCAACACAAAUUUGGUGAUGUAUAUUUUUCUUUUGGGUAAAAGUGGCAUGUACAUAGGUGUUGUUUAGUCACUUGAAUAUGUAUAUUACUUUGGGUAGUGAAGGAUGAAUUAUAAAAUUUAGAUGGUUAAAUGAAAUAGUAAGGAAAGUACAUGAUAUUUUGAUACAUGAACAUUAAGUUGUUAAAUGAAUGAAGUUUUUAAUCAA